rnacentral:rRNA from 1 species
UACAGGGGGGUGCAAACGUUGCUCGGAAUCAUUGGGCGUAAAGCGCACGUAGGCGGUUCGUUAUGUCGGAUGUGAAAGCCCUUGGCUUAACCGAGGAAGUGCAUCCGAAACUGGCGAGCUAGAGUACGAAAGAGGAUCGCGGAAUUCCCGGUGUAGAGGUGAAAUUCGUAGAUAUCGGGAGGAACACCGGUGGCGAAGGCGGCGAUCUGGGUCGAUACUGACGCUGAGGUGCGAAAGCGUGGGGAGCAAACAGG